rnacentral:pre_miRNA from 1 species
CUUGUACUCCCUCCAUCCGAAAAUACUUGUCAUUGAAAUGGAUGUAUCUGGAUGUAUUUUAGUUCUAGACACAUCCAUUUUGAUGACAAAUAAUUCCGGACGGAGGGAGUACUUG